CUGACACAGGGAGGUAGUGACAAUAAAUAACAAUGCCGGGCCUUUACAGGUCUGGCAAUUGGAAUGAGAACAAUUUAAAUCCCUUAUCGAGUAUCAAUUGGAGGGCAAGUCUGGUGCCAGCAGCCGCGGUAAUUCCAGCUCCAAUAGCGUAUAUUAAAGUUGUUGCAGUUAAAAAGCUCGUAGUUGGAUUUCAGUCUUAAUUCGUCUGGCCCGCUCCCUUGAGGAGCCGAGUGCCGGUUGCGAAUUGGACUUCCUUCUAGCAUGAAACCUCUACCGUUAUGCGGCCGGGGGGGACAUCUGGAUCAUUUACUUUGAAGAAAUUAGAGUGUUCAAAGCAAGCUUACGCUGUGAAUAUAUUAGCAUGGAAUAAUAACAUAGGACUAGGGUUCUAUUUUGUUGGUUUCUAGAGCCAAAGUAAUGAUUGAUAGGGACAGUUGGGGGUGCUGCUAUUAUAUGGCCAGAGGUGAAAUUCACGGAUUCAUAUAAGAGCAACUUAUGCG
rnacentral:rRNA from 1 species